GUCAGGUUUUUCUCUGUUUAAGUGGCUACAGCUGAAUAGCUCAGGCCAAACUUAAAGCUCACACUUGAGACUUGACGUGCUCAGCUCCUGCUAAAGAGGCUCCAGGGCAGCGCCUGCCUUUCCGGGAAGCUCCCCUGAGGGUCACCGAGGCUGCAGAGAACACCCGGUGAUGACUGCAUGGAUCUCCUUCAUCUGCUGGGAUUCAAGCUGUGUUGCUGGCCCUGCAUGUUUUUCUUCGGGAAGGCUGUGCAGUCUGCUCUGAGGAGACAGAUCAACCUAGCCCUUCUCCAGGACGAACUCCGAAAACCACAGGAAUUCACGUUCAAAGGAUGACGCAUCUCAGAAUCAGGUGGCCUUUAGUGAGCCAGUGGCUCGGAUUUAUGUGGUCAGAUUCUGAGCCGGCAGACACAAGGACAAGCCAGCGAGAGGUGUGGCAGGACUGGAGAUUCUGUGUAGGUCUGUAUGUGAUGGGCUUUAUGAAAUGCAUCUAUUUAAUGUACUCCAAGCCAAUUCUAAAUGAAGCAUGAUGCAGCCAAAUAUGAAAGGAGCUCAUUAUUGAUACAUUUUAUGGACCGAAUUGUGUUCUCUGGAAAAGGUAGUUGAAGUCCCUUAAUAUGUGACCUUAUUUGGAGGAAUAGGAUCUUAAAGAAGUAAUCAAGUUAAAAUCACGUCAUUCAAGUGGGCUCUAAUCCAAUAUAACUGAUGUCUUUAUUAGAAGGUUAAAUUUGAACAGAGACAGAUGUGCAUAGAGAGAAGGUUGUGUGAAGAGACACAGGAAGGAGACGGCCAUCUAUUUGGAACAGAGCUUCCCUUAUAGACCUCAGAAGGAACCAACUCUGAUACCUUGGUUUUGGGCUUCCAGACUCCAGAACUGUGAGACAAUAAAUUCCUGUUAUUUAAGGCUCACCAGUCUGCGGGGCUUUGCCAUGGCAUCCUAAGAAAGUGAGCGUGAAACUUAAUUCAUCAGUACGGAAAACAUCUUGGCAGUUUAACCACUAUUGUAAUACUCAUGUAUUGAUACGUGUUUCAGAAUUUUUCUGCUCUCUUCCUCAGUAUGUAUGUACAGCAAAAGCUUCAGAGAGAAACUCCAGGCCAUGCAAACUCAUGAACUAAACUCUGGGAGAGGUGCUGGUGAUGACCUGGAAGGGAAAGAUGAGUGUUUGGCACAGGACGGGACCGACCGAAAGUGGUUGUGUGGGAGGGUUUGAUGGGGUGGCUGCUGGUUGUUGUUGGGAGAGGAGGGGCAGGUGGGUUCUCUCCUCUGGCAAGGCCACGGGUGUGGUCUGGCUUGGAGCAGGAUCCAGAGCCAUUGAACUCUGAGGAACUAUGAAGCUCCUGCUGCAGGUAGGAAAGAAAGAGAAGGUGAGAAGAUAGGAGGAAGCUUCCCAAUGCCCUAGACAGGUUGCAGGUGAGGGCACAGACCCCUGUGCAGAUGUGCUGGAGCUGCAGUGCAGUGGGAUGCCCGGGAACAUGGGGGGCUCCUGACUUAGUGCUGAGAUGCCUGGAAGUCAAAGGCACGUGGAGAUGGCGAGCUGCACGAUGAGAAGUGUGAUCUCCUCCUUCCAAACUGCAGAGAG
rnacentral:lncRNA from 1 species